AUGGAACAUGAACUGGUGAAUGGGCAUGUGGGGGAGGAUGUCAGUGCUCAACAGAUUAGGGAGGCUUGUCCUGCUGACGAAGGAAAUAAUGGAGAUGGUUUACAUGCUUCUCUGCUUUCUCAGGCGGCAACUGCGGAAGGAUAUGAUACAAACGCACCCUUUACAUGUGAAGGGAUUUCUUCAUAUUUAAGAAGGCAUGGCACAACAGGACUUGUGCAAGAUUUUAUGGCUUCAUUAGAUGAUCAUGAGAUUGAAGAAGAAGAAAUCCAUGAAGCAGCAUUGUUAUCACAUCAGCCUGCACUUCAUGAUGUGGAAAGCACAAGGAGACAUCUAUCCAGCCAACAAAUUGUCCAGCUAUCUGAAACGGCUAAUAUAAGGCCUAAGUGGAGGGUAAUUCAAGCACUUCAGGAUGUACAGUUCUCUCUGUCACCCACACGUGUCUAUGUACAUAGUUUGAACAGGAAGCUUAGCUCACAGUCCUGCAGUAUCAACUGA
rnacentral:rRNA from 1 species